rnacentral:rRNA from 1 species
ACCAACCGGGAUUGCCUUAGUAACGGCGAGUGAAGCGGCAAAAGCUCAAAUUUGAAAUCUGGUACCUUUGGUGCCCGAGUUGUAAUUUGGAGAGGGCAACUUUGGGACCGUUCCUUGUCUAUGUUCCUUGGAACAGGACGUCAUAGAGGGUGAGAAUCCCGUGUGGCGAGGAGUGCGGUUCUAUGUAAAGUGCCUUCGAAGAGUCGAGUUGUUUGGGAAUGCAGCUCUAAGUGGGUGGUAAAUUCCAUCUAAAGCUAAAUAUUGGCGAGAGACCGAUAGCGAACAAGUACAGUGAUGGAAAGAUGAAAAGAACUUUGAAAAGAGAGUGAAAAAGUACGUGAAAUUGUUGAAAGGGAAGGGCAUUUGAUCAGACAUGGUGUUUUGCGCCCUCUGCUCCUUGUGGGUGGGGGAAUCUCGCAGUUCACUGGGCCAGCAUCAGUUUUGGUGGCAGGAUAAAUCCGUAGGAAUGUAACUUGCUUCGGGAAGUAUUAUAGCCUAUGGGAAUACUGCCAGCUGGGACUGAGGACUGCGACGUAAGUCAAGGAUGCUGGCAUAAUGGUUAUAUGCCGCCCGUCUUGAA